GGAAGGAAGCUCACUGUAGAGGUCAUGUACGGAGUGCGUCACAACUGUGAUGUCACUCCAUUAAUUCCUCCGGGAAGGUCUGAGACAGGAGCCAUUAGCUGCCCUCACAGGGCGUCACCUGAGUGGGUGAGUGAGUCCCCAGCAACCCCACGCUGGAGUGGACCGGCUCGACACGUGGAGUGGGCUCUGCAGGAGAGGCGGGGUGGACUGCAGUGAGAGGGUGGAGUUACAGAUUGACACUCCCACCCAACUCAGUGAGGCUCCGCCCAGCUGAUGCCGCCCCCUCCCCGGGCCUUGGAAGUGGCUCACGGCUGGCUGUGUUAGUCCAAUGGCUGAGGUGGAGCAGCUGCACGGGAUGUGUGCGCGCCCCAUAACCCAAUUCAGACCACUCUCCGGAAUUCC
rnacentral:RNase_P_RNA from 2 species